CUCAAUCCUUCAAAAUACGUCCAAGGAUGUGUAAAAAUAUGUACAAUGUGUGUAUAUAUAGUUAGCCAAUCCUUAGCUUUGUAGGAGUUGGAUUUCAUGUAGAAAUUGAGCAUGGGAGUAGAGGGGGCACUGCCCUGGGUGUUGCACCACUCCAAGUGCGGCUGAGCCUGCUGUAGAGCACCGCUCUAGCUUGGGCUGAGCCUGCUUUAAAGCCCCUGUCACACCCCUUUUUAGCUCGAGGUUGAAGUCGAAGGGUUUUUCCAAUUAUAAUGAUAAUAUUGAAUAGGGAUUAUUUUAAUUACAGAGUCGCCACUUGAAAUUGAGUUUUGAUGUUCCCAGUCACCUUUUUAAAUCCCUAGUCAAAAGAAAAUGACUCUUUUGUUUUGGUUUGCGAAAAACAUAAGAUCAGUUAAGGAUUCUGUUGAUCAAGGGAAGGUGUAAGGUACUCCUCGAGUCUCGUGGUUUUAGUACGGUAGCUUUUAUUGACUUAUACUUACUUAAACUAUUUUGUUAAAUUAUGUUAAGGCUUAGAUUCACUCAUUUUUAAAUAUCUAAAAUCUGUCAUAUAUUCUAUAUUAAACCGGCAAAAAUUAAUUUUAGAAAAAUAUUUGUCAAGGUGCAUUAUUGCAUUCUUGAAUAAUUUUUUAACGUCUCAAAAAGAUGCAUGUGACACAUUCUUAAUCGAGACAAAUAUUUUAAACAUGCCUAAAACUUUUCUAGCGUUAAAGGAAUUUAUUUUGUCUCUUGUAAACUUGAGACAAUUCUAUCUUAUCCAUUUAAUUUUUUUUCACUCUUUAUUUUGCAACAAAUUUUGAAUUAAUUUACAACUCGCCUCAUUCCUUUACAAAUAUGAUUUUUUCUCAUUUUUCUUUUAUCAUUUGUGGCCGGUGUUAAAUAAACCCACAAUCUAUUUCAUUUUUUUUUUUUAUAAUUAAUUGGCUAAUUAGACAUAAGAUUGAUCUCGGCCUAAAAAAUGUUAAUAAUCAUAUUCAAAUACACAUUGUUACUGAUCAUUCCAUAAAGGGGAAUUAGCAAAGAGCAACUAACAAAUAAUAUGACCAAGACAAAUUGAAGAUUGAUUCAAUGUUAAUUCAAAGAAAAGUUUAAACACGUGACUAAGAGAAUAAUUAAAGAAUAUAUCAUGCAUGUCCAAGUGAAAUAAACUCCCAAAAUGAUCUCUUUCUGUAUAUAAAGUGCACUUAACUGUUUUGUAAAAAAUAAACCCACAAUACUUAAUGGAACUUAGUUUUUUCAUGUUAAGAUUCAGAAAGAAAAAAAAACUACUACCAAAUAUGCUUAUCGAAAGUUCACGUAUAUAUAUUUUUUUAAAAAAAAUCCAUACAUUUAAACCUUACUAUUUUACAUUUAAAAUUAGAAUCCUAACUAUGUUUAUUUGCAUUAACUUAAAACUCAAAAUAUAAUGUGUUCUUUUUCAAACAAUAAUUCAUUUAUUCAAAAUCCAUGAACAAACAACCUAUAUUUUAACAUGAUAUGUUUUUUCAUUUCUUAUUUUUGUUUUUACAUGCAUGCAUGAGUCAUAAAUUGUGGUCUAUAACAUAACUACAUACUAAUUGCAUGUCAACUUUACAUAUUUAAACAUUAAAAAUUACCACAUUUAAAGCUCAAAAUCAAUCUAAUUAAUAUUAUUUUUGAAUUAACAAAUGAAUUAUAAAUAAAGAUGUAAAACACCAAACUAUAUCUAAACAAUAAACUACGCAUACUAAAUAAAGAAAGUCAUUAAAAUAACUUUGUUCAUGUUUCGAUUACAACAGGACGCAUCGAAAUAAAUAAUAUGGAGUUGAAUAAAAACCUGUAUGAUGAACUAACUAAAAGAAAAGUACGAACAAAGCCACCGAAGACUCGAACGGAAACUUGAAAUCAAUCCUCUACUACUUUACUUUCUGUCCGUGUGAUUUUUUUUUCACUGUUUCUCGUUUUCCUUUUUUUUUUUUUUUUUUUUUUUUUUUUUUUUUUUUUUUUCUAGUUUUGGUUUCUUGGUUUCUUUUUGUUUCUUGUUUUGUUUUUUGGUUUCUUUUUGUUUCUUGUUUUUUUUUCUUGAUCACUCAUUGUUUCUCUUCUCUUUUCUUGUUCUCUCUGUUUCUUUGCCGCCUUCUUUUUUUUCAAUGUUGUUCUCUUCCUUUUCAUGUGUG
rnacentral:lncRNA from 1 species